rnacentral:rRNA from 1 species
GACGAACGCUGGCGGCGUGCCUAAUACAUGCAAGUCGAACGCAAAACUUUCACCGAAUGCUUGCAUUCACGAAAGUUUUGAGUGGCGAACGGGUGAGUAACACGUGGGUAACCUGCACAGAAGAGGGGGAUAACACUUGGAAACAGGUGCUAAUACCGCAUAAUAACAAAAACCGAAUGGUUUUUGUUUGAAAGAUGGUUUUGCUAUCACUUCUGGAUGGACACGCGGCGUAUUAGCUAGUUGGUAAGGUAAAGGAUUACCAAGGAAAUGAUACGUAGCCGAACUGAGAGGUUGAUCGGCCACAUUGGGACUGAGACACGGCCCAAACUCCUACGGGAGGCAGCAGUAGGGAAUCUUCCACAAUGGACGAAAGUCUGAUGGAGCAACGCCGCGUGAGUGAAGAAGGUUUUCGGAUCGUAAAACUCUGUUGUUAGAGAAGAACGUGUGUGAGAGUAACUGCUCAUGCAGUGACGGUAUCUAACCAGAAAGCCACGGCUAACUACGUGCCAGCAGCCGCCGUAA